CAGCGCCGCGGUAAUACGAAGGGUGCAAGCGUUACUCGGAAUUACUGGGCGUAAAGCGUGCGUAGGUGGUGGUUUAAGUCCGUUGUGAAAGCCCUGGGCUCAACCUGGGAAUUGCAGUGGAUACUGGGUCACUAGAGUGUGGUAGAGGAUAGUGGAAUUUCCGGUGUAGCAGUGAAAUGCGUAGAGAUCGGAAGGAACAUCUGUGGCGAAGGCGACUAUCUGGGCCAACACUGACACUGAGGCACGAAAGCGUGGGGAGCAAACAGGAUUAGAUACCCCAGUAGUCCCUGUCUCUUAUACA
rnacentral:rRNA from 1 species